rnacentral:lncRNA from 1 species
AUGAAUAGGUGCCAAUGCUACACUUCCUUAGCUAGGAGCUAGCAAUGCUACGUGGAAUUGCAUGUCGAAAAUAUUUAAAAAGUCAACCUGCCAUCUCUCCUGCCCUGCUCGUCCAAGUUCCCACUCUAGUUCCAGUACUGGCAGGCUUCACCACUAUAUCCCAGCAGGGUCCUGCUUGGCAUGUUCUCCCAGGUAUCUUCUGAGAGGUUGUUCUCUCUCCACUUCUCAUUCAAGUCUGAAGAUGCUUACAGUCACCUGCAGUACUUCUAAAUCAGAGUUUUGAGAUGGAAGAGGUCACAGCUCCAAUGAUCUCAGCCGAAGAAGAUGAGGAAGAAGACCAGCACAAGUGAGUCUCUCUCAAAUCAGCUUUUGCUGGUAUCAGGAUUUCUCUGGAGGACUCAACAAAGUCCUCUCCAUGCCUGAGAUUCCUACAAUGAUUGAAAUUCCAUUGUUUCUUCCCCGUGGCAUCCAGCCCACUGUACGCUGUGGCAUUUGGACAGGUUCUUGCCUCGAGUUCCUGCUCUGCCUUCAUUUCACUAUACCUAGAAGCUGAAAUAAACUAUUUCCUCCACAAG